rnacentral:lncRNA from 1 species
CCUUCAUCUACUCCUACUUAAGCCCCAAAUCACCUGAUUAACAACAGAGGCUGAGCCGGGUGGCUGAACACAGCAACCCUUACUGGCCUUCUCAUGGAAUUCCUAAUUCAGGGGCUCUGUGAAGGUGGAGCCACCCUCAGAAAGCCAAGAGAGGUGCCAUGCUACAGCUUAGCCUGAAAAAAAGGAAGGCAGAAAGAGAGGAAGUAGCAGUCAAGCACCUUAUCAUGCAAGGCUUGAUUCUCAAAAUGCAUUACCAGGAACAGCAGCCUCACCAUCAUCUUCCAGCUUACUAGAAAUGCUCAGGACGCUUCAGAACUAAAGAGAAGAGCCUGCAUUUUACCAAGCCCCUGAAGUGAGCUCAUGUGCACAUUAAAGUUCGAGAAGCCCUGCCAGAGGGAGCUGUUGUAGAUAAGACAUGGUAAGGGAGGUUUCUCAAAGAGUCCUGGGCCAGUUGAAGUAUCUAACACAGACCCAU